rnacentral:rRNA from 1 species
AUUGAACGCUGGCGGCAUGCCUUACACAUGCAAGUCGAACGGCAGCACGGGGCAACCUGGUGGCGAGUGGCGAACGGGGGAGUAAUGCAUCGGAACGUACCUUUCAGUGGGGGAUAACGUAGCGAAAGUUACGCUAAUACGGCAUAUUCUGUGAGCAGGAAAGCAGGGGAUCGCAAGACCUUGCGCUGAUUGAUCGGCCGAUGUCGGAUUAGCUAGUUGGUGAGGUAAAGGCUCACCAAGGCGACUAUCUGUAGCGGGUCUGAGAGGAUGAUCCGCCACACUGGAACUGAGACACGGUCCAGACUCCUACGGGAGGCAGCAGUGGGGAAUUUUGGACAAUGGGGGCAACCCUGAUCCAGCCAUGCCGCGUGAGUGAAGAAGGCCUUCGGGUUGUAAAGCUCUUUCGGCCGGGAAGAAAUUGCACGGGCUAAUACCCUGUGUGGAUGACGGUACCGGAAUAAGAAGCACCGGCUAACUACGUGCCAGCCGCCGCUGUAAAAC